AUUAGAAUAACGCAAAAAUUAGGUAUUCACAGCUAUCCCUCUUUGCUUGAGAACAUGAAGAGUUUUCGUGCAAAGAAAAGAAAAUUCCAUAGUUAAUUUUUGCUCACAUAUUACUCCAAUGGAAACAAUUUUUGAAAAAGGUGACCAAACCUUGCUUCCGAGGUUGUCUACAUAUCCUUUGCUAUAAAAGAAUCAGGCCAGUGUAGUUCUGAAAAAUAUGAUCGCUAGGACUACCAGGCACUGGAGUUAAGACUAUUGUUGUUGUUGUUGUUACUGUUACUUGCUGCUAUAUCAAAAGGAAAAGAGAAAGAACUAUAUAUGUAUGCAAAAUAAAAGUUACAAAAUUCUUAUGCCUUCUGGAGUCAAAUCUUGAUUUUUGACUGGGUCUCUUGUGUUGAGCAUGAAUGGAUCUUGAUGCUCUUUGAAUAAAAUAUUAUGACUCAAUAUCAGCUGCUUGCUUUAUUGAUCCGAAAUUGAGAAGAUGAAUCUUGAGAAGCUGGUUUACUGACACAUUGUCAAAGUUAACUCCAACUAUUAUGUGAUCGAAAGACGUCUUCCUUCUGAUGGUGACUGAAACUUCAAGCUUUGAUCGUCACAAACUGCGCCCUAUGGCGGGGCCUGCAAAGCCAUCAAAGAUGAACAAAACGAACAAAGUUUUCAGCCCCAGUUUGGCAUUGAGAAAAUUUUAUGAGUUACUGGGUAAAGCUGCAAAUCAGCUUAUUUUAUUUGAAAGAUGCAAAAAUGAUGCUGAAGACUCCGAAUCAAAUGUGCUUCUCUUAGGAGUAGAAUUGGUAAAGCUUAGACUAAGAGGUGCUUCUUUCAUGGGUGGCAUUGGAAUGACUACAAGAUUAAAGGACUCCAACUAGCAAUUGCGUCUUCUAAGAUUAAUGAUUCAUAUUAGGAAGUGUGUCUCCUAUUAGAAUGGACUCAAUCAAGGAAGUAUGUCUUCUACGAAUGAGGUUAAAGGUUUGGACUAGGAAGUGUGUCUCCUAAGAUUAAUGGUUCAUAUUAGGAAGUGUGUCUCCUGUUUGAAUGGCUCAGACUAGGAAGUGCAUCUCCUAAGAAUGAGUUUGAAAAGUUUGGACUAGGAAGUGCAUCUCCUAAGAUUAAUGGUUCAUAUUAGGUAGUGCAUCUCCUAUUGGAAUAGCUCAAACUAGGAAUUGCGUCUCAUACGAAUGAGGUCAAAAGACUUAGACUAGGAAGUGUGUCUCCUACGAGUGAGGUUGAAGGGCUUGACUAGGAAGUGUGUCUCAUAGGAUUGAUGGUUCAGAUUAGGAAGUGCAUCUCCUAAUGGAAUGUCUCAAACUAGGAAGUGCGUCUCUUAGGAAUUGUAGCUCAGAUUAGGAAGUGUAUCUCCUAUUGGAAUAAGUCAAACUAGGAAGUGCGUCUCCUAGGAGUGGUUGAAAGGUUUGGACUAGGAAGUGCGUUUCCUAGGCUUAAUGAUUCAGAUUAGGAAAUGCGUCUCCUAUUAGGAUUUCUCAAACUAGGAAGUGCAUCUCCUACGAUGAGGUUGAAGGGCUUGUGCUAGAAAGUGCAUCUCCUAGGAUUGGUGGUUUAGAUUCGGAAGUGCGUGUCCUAUUGGAAUAGCUCAAACUAGGAAUUGUCUCUCCUACGAAUGAGGCCAAAAGACUUGGACUAGGAAGUACAUCUCCUGGGACUGGUGGUUCAGAUUAGGAAGUGAGUCUCCUAAUGGAAUAUUUCAAACUAGGAAGUGUGUCUCCUACGAGUAAGGUUGAAGGUCUUGGACUAGGAAGUGUGUUUCCUAGGCUUAAUGAUUUAGAUUAGAAAGUGCAUCUCCUAUUGGAAUUUCUCAAACUAGGAAGCUCCUAUGAGUAAGGUUGAAAGUCUUAGACUAGGAAGUGUGUAUCCUAGGAUUUAUGGUAUAGAUUAGGAAGUGUGUCUCCUAUUGGAAUGACUCAAACUAGGAAGUGCGUCUCCUACGAGUGAGUUUGAAAGUCUUGUAGGGAAUAUAACUAGAGGUUGGCGCCCUGUAUCACUGAGAAAGAAGGUAACCAGGGGUUGGCGCCCUGUAUCACUGAGAAAGAAUGUAACAAGGGGUUGGAUACCUUAUAUGAAAAUGAAACCUCACUAAAGAAUGUUGUACCUUAUGUUGAAAAAAUAUAGCUAGGGAUUGGUGUACCGUAUACUAAACACGCGACUAGGGAGUUGUCUGCCCUAUGUCAAUAUGGGACCUCAACUAAGGGUUGAAGUACCUUAUGCUGGAAAAUACAGUUGCUGAUGAUGUGAUUAUCUAGAAAGAACAAGCAGAGACUUUGAAGAAUUUACCUUUGGUGAUAUUCUUCCUUUAAGAGCUUCAAUGCUAUACUACUUUGUUUCCUGCUUCAAACAAAGAAAGAUUUGUGAGAUUAACAAUGGUGGUCGGUUUGUGGCCUUGUAUGCCCUGAGCAGUUUGAAUCUGCAUCCACCUCGUGUUAGAGAACUGAUUUGCAAGUAAUGGUACCAAACAACGAGAAGGCUUUGUACUGUGUUCUAGAAACUUCGGCUUUCUACUAUCGCCUCCAGCUAUUUGAUAACCAGAUGUCUAAGGUGUUGUUGAACCUUGUCUAUAAUGCAAGUCUUCACUUUCGCAGAUUUUUCCUUUAAAAUCAAACUUGAUCAUUUUGCACCCGCUAUUAGUUUGUGUCUGGGUCAAUUUUUCCCAUGAAGAAAGUUUUGCUUAGCGACCUUUUCGAUGUCUUCAAAACACUUUGUUUGGCUUAUCAGAGGGAAUAACAGUUGUAUUCGUACCUUUGUAAAUGCCGCGUAUGCCACACAUCCUUUAUUUUUCACUUCUACGAAACAAUGACCAAUUUUGUGGCCCAUUAUUUAUUGGCUUCUAAACAAACAGACCAACAAAUUUUUGGAAUUUCCGUUGGCAUGGACCCUCAGAUCUUGUUUAGCUUCAAGAAACUUAGUGUGCAUGUUGCUUCUUACGUAUGUCCUCUUCGAUGUGCUAGGAUAUAACUCGUUUUGCAUAAUUGGAAGUAUGGUAAUAGAUUUUGAAAUCAUUUCUCGGUUGUAUUAACAAAGACUGACUCAAAAUUAAAAUGCAAAUGAACAAAAUUACGCGAUUUACAAGUAAGACAAGAAUAGUACUUAACUAAAAAUACCACUUUACGGGGGAAAAAGAAAAAAAAAGGCUCAUUUGAAUAUGUUAUCCAACUAUAAUGAUCAUGACAUGCAUUUUGAACUGAGCGGCCGAAUCCAUCCUACCAAUCUACCCAUUCUUCUUGUUGUUCCCUUUUUUCUUUGAAGUUGGCCUCUUCGUGCCAAUCACAACUCACAUUCGACUAGUAGUGCCCCGAAAGUUUUUCAGCAAUUGGCCUCUCUCAUUUAUUUAUCUAUUCUUACCAUCACCUUACAAUGCCUAUGAGGGUUUUUACCAAUAAGAAUCUCUCAUUUCCAUUCAUUAUCGUUGUUUUUUUUUUUGUUUUUUUGUGAGAGAAACUUGACAUCGUUCUAUGUCGUUCGACAGUUGUUGCUUACUGCUUGUUUCCCUUGGCAUUCUUAAGACUAUUUGGAAGGGCUUUAUUUAGAAGGCUUUUGGAGAGGCUUAGAAAAAAAAAGGGUCACAUUAAGGCUCAAAAUAGACUCAAAUGAUAGGGUUGCAUAUUUACAACUUUCAGAAUCGACUCUUCAUAUAAACAAAAUAAAAAAUUAAAAAUCUUCCCCAGUUCCAUGUACUGGAAAUUUUUAUUUUUUGAUUUGGUUAGACAGAGCCCUAGUGUAGAGCUGCCUACGUAUCCUUUAAAGGAAUCAAGUCAAACGUAGUUCAACUAACACGAAUAAUCCUUUAUUGCUUUUUUUUUUCUUCUCUUUUUUUUUAAACAAAUUUCCCCAACUCUUAUUUGUAGUGGCAUGGAUUUUCGAUUUUUUUUGUACUUGAUUCCAAAAGAAGGGGGAGGAGGGUCAAAGAAAAAUAAAACAUGCUAAAAAAGGAGAGAUUUAUGCAGCUACAGAUUUACUUCCAUUUCAAAUUUUGAAUUAAAUGCUGAUAGGAUCACACACAGAUCCCCCCUACAAUCUCGCGCAUUUAUUGGGGAGAAUCUCGCUAUUUAUGAGCUUGAUAUAUAUUUUGUAGGGAUAAUGCGGACAACAAAGAUAAAUAUCAAUUGGUGAACAUUUUUGAUAAUAAAAUUUGCUAUAUGAUAUAAAUAAAAAAAUCCUUAAGAGAACGGGCUGCUUUUUCAUUAAAAUGAAAAAUGAGCCAGCUGAAUCAUAAUAAAAAUGGGUCAGAUUCAUAAAUUUUGAUGACAUUGGGCCUGGUUUAUUGGUUUAUUGCUUCUACACUAAUUACAAAAGAGGAAAUAUAAAUAAUGGCUCAAGCUCAUCCGACACAUAAUAUAGGAAACGUUGUUCCCCGAGAGAUUUGAACACAUAAAUAAUUUCAGUAUAUUUGGAAUACAAUAUAUAUAUAUAUAUAUAUANNNNNNNNNNNNNNNNNNNNNNNNNNNNNNNNNNNNNNNNNNNNNNNNNNNNNNNNNNNNNNNNNNNNNNNNNNNNNNNNNNNNNNNNNNNNNNNNNNNNNNNNNNNNNNNNNNNNUAUAUAUAUAUAUAUAUAUAUUUAUAGAGAUCCUAAUUUAUAAACAGAAAUUAAAUAGCAAAAGUUAAACGAAAGAAUCAAACCGAAAGGGACGACAUAAUCGAAGCAGACAUACUAGAUUAAAAAUGUAAGAAAAAUGGAAAAUGUGAAUGUUUUUCCAAGUCCUCUUCGUAACAGUUCCGCUUCUUCCUUAUUCUUUUUUAAGUUUCUUUCUUUCUUAUAUAUAUAUAUAUAUAUAUAUAUAUAUAUAUGAACCAAGGUAUAAGCAUAUUCACAAAUUAAGUUCUCUUUGCCAUUGUGCCUCAAGUUUUUCUUAAUUUAGGAGGCCAUAUCUUGACAUCACAUAGAUGGAUCAAAUUAGCAUCUUUAAACCAUAAACCAAAAAAAGGGUUACAACCUCCGGUAAGUGUAACUCUAAGGAGAAGAAACUCAAACAAAAUUAUUAUGAUUAUCAAUGAAACUAUUUCAUUACAAUUUUCGUGAAUAUGUAAAGAACUUUCAAAAAAUAAAACUCUCAUUGAAAUAUUUAAAGUUAAAGGUACUUAUGCUAUAGCUAAUAUCCGAAUAUGAUCGCAUAAAGUUAUCAUUCAUGAAAAUAAUCUAAAAUCAACUAAUGAAAUCAAGUUAAAGCUUCAGACUUCAUGUUUCAUUAAUAGAGAUAAAAAAAUGUAUUACAAAGUUAAGAAGAAUACCUAGGCUGCGAAUCCGAAAGCAAAUAAAAGUGAUGAACUUUAUCCAAACUCACAGCUAGUAAACACAGCUCAAAACCAACACCAACAGCAGCAAACGAACUAGUAAAACCAAAAAGAUUCAAUUCCGAAAAACUUGCAGAACCAAAAUCAGAAACUAAAGAAGAAGACUUAAAGAAAACUUUUCUUUCUUAUGUAUUCUUUCAUUUCUCUGGAAUAUUUUUCAAAGAAGGAAGAUUGCAAAGGGUUUUUAAGUUACUACAAUGUGACGACCCAAAGGGUCAUCACCGUAAUUCACCUUUUCCUUGCACUUCCGAGGCCUUGAAAACCUUUUAUUAGAUUACGUCGAUUUGCAUGCUCAGUACGAGCGUGAAGCUGGAAAAAUUUUAUGUAAAAAUAUUGGAAUUCUGUGUUAAAAACUAUGAAUUUUGAAUAUAAUAUUGAUAUGGUUGACUUCGGUCAACAUUUCGGAUAAACGAUCCCGGACCCGAGAUUUGAGGGUCUCGAAAAAAUCCCUAGGAAAGUAUGGGACUCGGGUGUAUUCCCGGAAUCCAAAUCCGAGGUCUCAGGCUCGAGAAAAUAAUUUUUCAGUUUAAUUGAUUUCUCUUAAUGUUCAAGGAAAAUGAAUUAGAAAAAAAAUGAGCAAAAGGUAAUGGUAUCGGGCUCGUAUAUUGGUUCCGACGCCCGGUACAAGUAAUAAAUAAUUGUUAAGCACUAUUUGUGAAGUUUCAUUUUAAUCGGACAUCGUUUGACGCGUUUUGGACUAAAAGUGGAAAAGUUUGAAAGUUUUGAACUCGAAAUGAAAAUCAUGAGUUUUGGAGGUUGAUUCUUUGAUUUAGAUGUUAUUUUGGCGAUUUNNNNNNNNNNNNNNNNNNNNNNNNNNNNNNNNNNNNNNNNNNNNNNNNNNNNNNNNNNNNNNAAAAAUUUUGGCGAUUUUAUCGCACGAGUAUGUUCGUAGGAUGUUUUUGAGGUUGUGUGCAUGUUUGGUUUGAAACCCCGAGGGCUCGGGAGAGAUUUGGAGUAGGUGUCGAGUUCAUUUUGCAUGGUUGGAACCUGUUUCUGGUGUAUCAGACCUGCAGGCUUCGCAAUUGCGAAGCCUGGUUCGCAUUUGCGAAAGAGGUCCUGGUCCAGCUAAUCUCGCAAAUGCGAGUUCUACUUCGCAAAUGCGAAGUCUUCUCUCUUCCUUCAGUCAUCGCAAAUGCGAUGAUAUUCUUCGCAAUUGCGACCUUUCCACAUUCCAGCCCAGGUUCGCAUUUGCGAACUCCCAUCUCGCAAAUGCGAGGUGCCCUUCUUUGAUGCCCAGUUUGCAAUUUCGAAUUCGAUCUCGCAAUUGCGAGGUCCGUGUCUGCACAAAAUAUACUUAACCGAUUUUAAAGUUCUUUUUCAUAAUUUCAAAACCUAAAACCCUCAUUGGCGAUUUUCUCUCAACUCUUCCGUCCCCAAAUUAAUUGUAAGUCCAUUUUUACUUGUUUUCUUCAAACCCUCAUAGGCAAUUUUCUCUCAACUCUUCCGUCCCCAAAUCAAUUGUACGUCCAUUUUUACUUGUUUUCUUCAAUCAUUAUCAUCUUCUAACAUGAUUUCUUCACUAAAUCAAAGCUUUUAUGGGUUAAAAAAAUUGAGGUUUGGUUAGAAGUUAGGUUUUUCAUAUUUUGAGCUUUUGGACCUCAAUUUGAGGUCCGAUUUCAAUUCUAAUUAUAGAUAUGAGCUCGUGGGGGAAUGGGUAACCCGUUUUUUGUUCGAACCUCGAGUUUUGACCACGUGGGCAUAGGGGCAUUUUGGGAAUUUUGAGUAAAAAUCGGAAAUUUCAUUCUUGUGCAUCCAAAUUGAUUUAACUAGCAUUUGUUGAUACAUUUGAGUAAAUUGUGGUUAGAUUCGACCAGUUUUGAAGCGAAUUCGAAGGGUAAAACCAUUCUAGAAGCGUGAGUUGAGUUGGAAGCCUUCGAGGUAAGUGUUCGAUCUAACUUUGACUUGAGGGAAUAUGAUUAGGUUGUUAAUUGCUAUGUGCUAUGCGGAGUCGGUGUAUAGGUAAGGUGACGGUUACAUAUGUGCCCGAGUCGAGUAUGGUUGUGUUGUCAUUUGUUAUUAGAAUUGUGAAAGAAGUGAACAAUUGAGACAAAUUCUCGUUAUAAGAGCUAUGAAGUGAAAGAUAAGAAGUAAAUGAACUAGAGAUGAGUUGUUGGUGUUUAUCCCUUACCGGGACUUGUUGUCAUACUGUUUCCCUUGCCGGGACUUGUUGUUAAACUAUUUCCCUUGCCGGAACUUGUUGUUAAAUUGUUUCUCUUGCCGGGACUUGUUGUUGCAUUCUACCUUGCUGGGAUGGUUAAUCUUGUUGUUUACUCCUUUUCCCAUUAAUUGUGAUUAUUGUUUGGGUGAGGAGGAGCGAUAAAGCACGAUGUGUGAUGCCGUGUACUUAUUGAUUUCCUCCACAAGAUGGAGUGGUAUAUCUAGAUUUCCUCUUCAAGAUGAAGUGGUAUUUAUAGAUAUCCUCCACAAGAUGGAGUGGUAUAUAUCGAUUUCCUCCACAAGAUGGAGUGGUAUUUAUUGAUNNNNNNNNNNNNNNNNNNNNNNNNNNNNNNNNNNNNNNNNNNNNNNNNNNNNNNNNNNNNNNNNNNNNNNNUAUAUAUCGAUUUCCUCCACAAGAUGGAGUGGUAUAUAUUGAUUUCCUCCACAAGAUGGAGUGGUGCUAUUGAUUGGGUGAGGACGAGGGUAAAAGCACGAUGGGUGGUGUCGUGCAACGUAGUUUAAUUGGUCUUACCUUACUGGAGUUCCUUAUUCCGUUUUCCCUUUAUUAGUUGUUGUUUCAUUGGGUUCUCUUAUUUAAAUGCUAUCUAUUCAGUUCCAUCUCUUAAUUGUAGAAGUUAUAGUUGAACUGCUAUUCCCCCCAGCAUGUCCCCUCCCUUUUUAUUGUUUAAAUUCUUGUUUUCCUUUUCUGUUAUCGUAUAUAUCUGUACAGGUUGUUUAUGGUAGGUCCGGUUAGCCUCGUCACUACCUUGCCAAGGUUAGGCCGGACACUUACCAGCACAUGGGGUCGUUUGUGCUAAUACUAUGCUUCUGUGCCUUUUUAUGAACAGGUCAGGACCCAGUCUACGGGCCGCAGCUUUAGACAGGAAGUGAUCCUUCAGUCCAGAGGCUCUGAGGUAGUUAGCUGGCGUUCGGGGGCCCCGAGUCUCGUGUAACUUUCCCUUUCAGUUUGUUAAAUUGUAUCAAACAUACAUGCUAUGUACUUCUUUCAGACUAUUAUUUUUAGCACUCUUUAGUUGUCUGUGAGCAGUGACACCAGAUACUGGGUAGAGAUUGGUUGUUAGUUUUCAGCAUAUUGUUUUCCUUAUUGUUAUUAGACGUCGUCCGCAUGUUUAACUAAUUAUUUUAGCAUUUAAUUUGUUUUAGAUUCAAAUUUUCUGGAAAUGUUUAUAAGGGUUGGCUUGCCUAGCUUCGAUAGUAGGCGCUAUCACGACUCCCGAUGGUGGGUAAAUCCGGGUCGUGACACUUUNNNNNNNNNNNNNNNNNNNNNNNNNNNNNNNNNNNNNNNNNNNNNNNNGGUAAAUCCGGGUCGUGACAAGUUGGUAUCAGAGCACUAGGUUACUUGGGUCUCACAACUCACAGACAAGCUCGGUAGAGUCUGAGGGAUCGGUACCGAGAAGUCUGUAUUUAUCCCUCAGAGGCUACAGAGUUAGGAAAAGUUUCACUUUGUUCAUUCUUGUCGUGUGAUUCUGUUCCCAAAUAUUGAUUUUCGUUCUACUUUGUACUUUCGGUGAUGGCGAGAACACGUGCGUCUUCUUUUUCGCGCAGCAGCUUGAGCCCCUAACAGCAGCUCCCACGAGGGGCAGGGGCCGAGGCCGUGCUAGAGGCCAUGGCAGGGGCAGAGCUCAGCCCAAGGCAGCUGUUCCAGAGGUGGAGCCUCAUAUUGACUUUGAUGAGGAGGUUCCAGCUCCACCAGCUCCAGUAGGCCCAACUCAGGUCCCAGGAGGAAUGAUGUUUUCUUCGGAUCUUCAGGAUGCCCUUGUCCGCAUAGCAGGUUUUAUAGACAGUGUGGCCAGAGCGGGAUUGCUUCUAGUAGCACCAGCCACUUCUCAGGCUGGAGAAGGGCUUCAGACUCCUGCUAUACGUACUCCGGAGCAGGUUCCCUUGGUUCAGCCUGUAGUGGCGGCUCAGACAUGUAUUACAGCUCAGGUCGGAGAUGGGUCAGCCAUGUCUUCGGAUGCUUUGUGGAGACUUGAUCGGUUCUCCAAGCUUUUCACUACCACUUUCAGCGGUGCUUCAUCGGAGGAUCCCCAGGNNNNNNNNNNNNNNNNNNNNNNNNNNNNNNGGGGGCGGCCAUGUCUUCGGAUGCUUUGUGGAGACUUGAUCGGUUCUCCAAGAUUUUCACUACCACUUUCAGCGGUGCUUCGUCGGAGGAUCCCCAGGAUUUUUUGUUUAGUUGUCAUGAGAUCCUCAGGACUGUGGGGAUAGUGGAGACCAAUGGGGUCAAUUUUUGCACUUUCAGACUUGUGGGUUCCGCCAAGACUUGGUGGAGAGAUUAUUGUUUGUCUAGACCAGCAGGGUCCCCAGCUUUGACAUGGGAUCAGGUUGCAGAGUUAUUUUUUGAGAAGUUUCUCCCUGCCACUCACCGGGAGGCACUUCGUAGACAGUUUGAGCAUCUUCAUCAGGGUUCUAUGAAAGUUACACAGUAUGAGACCAGGUUUGUUGACUUAGCACGCCAUGCAGUAGUGAUACUCUCUACUGAUCAAGAGAGGGUCUGGUGGUUCACUGGCGGAUUAAUUCAGCCCAUUCGCCUACAGAUGGCAGUGGGGUUGGCAGUGAUAUUACAUUUCAGGAGGCAGCCAAUACGGCCCGUCGAAUGGAGAUGGCACUAGCUCAAGGAGGUAGUCAGGGUUCUAAAUAAGGCCUAGACAUUCUGGUAGGUUUAGUAGUACCUCAUCUGGAGGUAGAGGUUCCUAUGACAUAAGCCAUCACCCGAGACCUCCAGUCAGCACUUUAGGUUUCUCAUGGUAUCCCAUGCGGUGGUAGUCAUCAGCAGCAUUCUGGCCAGCAGCUCUUCAUCUCACCACCAACCCACAUCAGUGCGCCGCCACUUCAGAGCGUCAGGGAAGGACAUACAGGUCGACAGGCCAGCAGUAUCAGCUGCCGAGGGCAUGUUAUGGUUGUGGUGACCCAUGUCAUAUUGUCAGGUAUUGCCUUCGAGCCUCGAGUAGUUCUUAGCAGCAGGGUCCUCGUCCUACGAUUCAGGCAACAGGUGAUGCACAUGCUGCCUAGCCAGCUAGAGGCAGAGGUAGGGAUCAUUGAGGUGGAGAGAGAGACCGUAGAGGUGGAGUCCAGACAAGCAGAGGUAGGGGUCAGCCCGCAGCAGAUCGUCCCAGAGACGCAGUUCAGGGAGGUGGGGGCCAUCCCCGCUGUUAUGCAUUGCCAUCCAGGCCGGAGGCUGAAUCAUCUGAUGCUGUGAUUACAUGUACUAUACUGGUCUAUGAUAGGGGUUAUUCGGUAUUAUUUGAUCCGGGAUCUACUUAUUCUUAUGUGUCAUCCUAUUUUCGACCAUAUUUGCUUAUGCCUAGUGAGGCAUUGGGUAUUCCGGUAUAUGUGUCCACCCCGGUUGGUGAUUCUAUACUGAUCAACCGAGUGCAUCGUUCUUACGUAGUGGUAUUUGAGGGUCUUGAGACCCGUGUCGAUUUAUUGCUUCUAGACAUGGUGGACUUCGAUGUUAUAUAUGGGGAUGGACUGGUUGUCCCCGUAUCAUGCCAUCUUAGAUUGUCACAGCAAGACCGUGACUUUGGCCUUGCCAGACAUACCUUGACUUGCGUGGAGAGGGACCCCAGGUCAUGCCACCUGUAGUGUUAUUUCGUAUGUCAAGGCUCGACGUAUGGUCGAGAAGGGAUGAUUAGCAUAUUUGGCGUAUGUUCGCGACCCCAACGCAGUGGUUCCAUCUAUCGACUCUGUUCUUAUUGUUCUAGAGUUCCCCGAGGUUUUUCUUUCAGACCUGCCGGGUGUGCCGCCGGACAGGGAUAUUGACUUCUGUAUUGAUUUGGCUCAUGGCACUCAGUAUAUUUAUAUUCCGCCGUAUCGCAUGGCCCUGCCAGAGUUGAAAGAGUUAGAGGAACAGCUUCAGGAUUUUCUUGAUAAGGGUUUCAUUAGACCCAGUGUAUCACUUUGGGGUGCACCAGUGUUGGUUGUGAAGAAGAAGGACGGGUCGAUGAGGAUGUGCAUUGAUUACCGGCAGUUGAACAAGGUGACGAUAAAGAACAUGUAUCCACUCCCGAGGAUUGACGACUUGUUUGAUAAGCUUUAGGGUGCUAAGGUGUUAUCGAAGAUAGAUUUGAGGUGUGGUUAUCAUCAACUGAGGAUUAGGGCGUCUGAUGUCCCUAAGAAAAUAUUUCGUACUCGGUAUGGGCAUUAUGAGAUUUUGGUCAUGUCGUUUGGGUUGACCAAUGCCCCGGAAACAUUCAUGGAGUUGAUAAACCGAGUGUUCAGGCCUUACUUGGAUCUAUUUGUGAUUGUAUUCAUUAAUGAUAUCUUGGUAUACUCCCGCAGUUAGGAGGAGUAUGAGCAGCACCUCAGAGGUUUCUUCAGACUCUGAAGGAUAACAAGUUGUAUGCCAAGUUUUCGAAGUGCGAAUUAUGGUUGAUUUCAGUAGCAUUCCUGGGUCAUGUCGUAUCAAUAGAGGGUAUCCAGGUGGACCCGAAGAAAAUAGAGGCAGUCAAGAACUAGCCUCGACCAGCUUCAACUACAGAGAUUCGGAGCUUCUUGGGGUUAGCUGGUUACUACAGACGUUUUGUGGAGGGGUUUUCAUCCAUCGCAGCCCCGAUGACUAGAUUGACUCAACCAGCUUCAGCUACAGAGAUUCGGAGCUUCCUAGGAUUAGCUCGUUACUACAGACGUUUUGUGGAGGGGUUUUAAUCCAUCGCAGCCCCGAUGACUAGAUUGACUCAGUAGGGUGCCCAGUUCAAGUGGUCAGAUGAGUGCGAGGCGAGCUUCCAGAAGCUCAAGACAGCCAUAACUACGGCACCGGUAUUGGUUUUGCCCACGGGAUCUGGGCUUAUACUGUAUAUUGUGAUGCUUCCCGCAUCAGACUUGGUACAGUAUUUAUGCAUAGCGGCAAGGUCAUAGCAUAUGCUUCGAGGCAAUUGAAGAUCCACGAGAAGAAUUACCCAGUUCAAGUCCGCCAGCAUGGGUAGUCUUGCAUACGUUCCGGUCAGCCAGAGACCUCUUGCCUUGGAUGUUCAGGCCUUGGCCAAUAUAUUUGCGAGAUUGGAUAUUUCUGAGCCCAGCAGAGUGUUAGCUUGCACGGUUUCUCGUUCGUCAUUGAUGGAGCGUAUCCAGGAGCGGCAGUUUGAUGAUCCCCAUAUAUGAGUCCUGAGAGACACAGUGCAGAGGGGAGGUGCCAAGGAGAUGACUUUGGGAGAUGAUGGCAUAUUAAGGUUGCAGGGGCAAGCUUUUAUGCCCAAUAUUGAUGGUAUUCGAGAGUCGAUCUUAGCGGAGGCCCACAGAUCUCGGUAUUCUAUUCAUCCGGGCGCCGCGAAUAUGUAUCAGGAUUUGAAACAGCAUUAUUGGUGGCAUAGAAUGAAGAAAGACAUUGUUGCAUAUGUGGCUCGUUGUCUAAANNNNNNNNNNNNNNNNNNNNNNNNNNNNNNNNNNNNNNNNNNNNNNNNNNNNNNNNNNNNNNNNNNNNNNNNNNNNNNNNNNNNNNNNNNNNNNNNNNNNNNNNNNNNNNNNNNNNNNNNNNNNNNNNNNNNNNNNNNNNNNNNNNUUUCCCCCCCAGAAGGACGAUCAGUCCGAGAGGACCAUUCAGAUUCUUGAGGAUAUGCUUCGAGCCUGCGUUAUUGAUUUUGGAGGCUCGUGAGACCAGUUUUUGCUGUUAGCGGAUUUUUCCUACAACAACAACUACCAGUCUAGUAUUUAGAUAGACAUGUAUGAGGCGUUGUAUGGUAGGCGAUCUCGGUCCCCGGUCGGAUGGUUUGAGCCGGGAGAGGAUCAUUUAUUGGGUACAGAUUUGGUACAGGAGGCCUUGGAUAAGGUCAAGUUCAUUCAGGACAAGACUUCAGUCAGCUCAGUCCAGGCAGAAUAGUGUUGCAGACCGUAAGGUCAGGGAUGUUUCCUUCAUGGUUGGUGAGCGUGUAUUGCUCCGUGUAUCGCCUAUGAUGAUGAGAUUCGGGAAGCAGGUCAAGCUUAGCCCAAGGUAUAUUGGCCCGUUUGAGAUUCUUGACCGUGUGGGAAAGGUGGCUUACAGACUUGCCUUGCCGCCUAGCUUGUCAGGUGUGCAUCCGGUUUUCCAUGUAUCCAUGCUUCAGAGAUAUCACGGUGAUCCCACCCACGUGUUAGAUUUCAGCACUGUCCAAUUGGAUAAGGGUCUGUCAUAUGAGGAGGAGCCGGUGGCUAUUUUUGAACGGCAGUUUUGACAGUUGAGGUCGCGGAGUUUUCCUUCAAUGCGUGUUCAGUGGAGAGCUCAGCCUCCUGGAUCUGUCAUAUGAGGAGGAGCCGGUGGCUAUUUUUGACCGGCAGGUUUGACAAUCGAGGUCGUGGAGUUUUCCUUCAGUGCGUGUUCAGUGGAGAGGUCAGCCUCCCGAGGCAUCAACCUAGGAGUCUGAGUCUGAUAUGCGGAGCCAUUAUCCCCAUCUAUUCCCCGACUCAGGUACUCCUUUCUUUUGUCCGUUCGAGGACUAAAUGUUGUUUUAGAGGUGGAGGAUGUGACGACCCAAAGGGUCAUCACCGUAAUUCUCCCUUUCCUUGAACUUCCAAGGCCUUGAAAACCUCUUAUUAGGUUACCUCGAUUGGCAUGCGCAGUCCGGGCGCGAAGACGAAAUUUUGUUUAUGUGAAAAUAUUGGAAUUCUGUGUUAAAAACUAUGAAUUUUUAUGAUAAUACUGAUAUGGUUGACUUCGAUCAAUAUUUUGGGUAAACGGACCCGGACCCAUGAUUUAACGGUCUCGGAAAAAUCCGUAGGACAAUAUGGGAUUCGGGCGUAUUCCCGGAAUCAAAAUCCGAGGUCCCAGGCCCGAGAAAACAAUUUUUUAGUUUAAUUGAUUUAUGUUAAUGUUCAAGGAAAAUGAAUUACAAAAAAUGAGUAAAAAUGGUAUCGGGCUCGUAAUUUGGUUACGACGCCCGGUACAAGUCAUAAAUAAUUGUUAAGCACUAUCUGUGAAGUUUCAUUUGAAUCAGACGUCGUUUGACGUGUUUUGGAUUAAUAGUGGAAAAUUUUGAAAGUUUUGAUGUUGAAAUGAAAAUCAUGAGUUUUGGAGGUCGAUUCUUUGAUUUAGAUGUUAUUUUGUGAUUUUAUUGCACGAGUAAGUUCGUAGGAUGUUUUUGAGGUUGUGUGCAUGUUUGGUUUGGAGCCCCGAUAGCUCGGGAGAUAUUUGGAGUAGGUGUCGAGUUCAUUUUGCAUGGUUGUAACCUAUUUCUUGUGUAUCAGACCUGCAGGCUUCGCAAUUGCGAAGCCUGGUUUGCAUUUGCGAAAGAGGUCCAGGUCCAGCUAAUCUCGCAAAUACGAGUUCUACUUCGCAAAUGUGAAGUCUCCUCUCUUCCUUCAGUCAUCGCAAAUGCGAUGAUAUUCUUCGCAAUUGCGACCUUUCCCCAUUCCAUCCCAGGUUCGCAUUUGCGAACUCCCAUCUCGCAAAUGCGAGGUCCUCUUCUUUGAUGCCCAGUUCGCAAUUGCGAAUUCGACCCAAGUUCGCAUUUGCGAACUCCCAUCUUGCAAAUGCGAGGUCCACUUCUUUGAUGCCCAGUUCGCAAUUGCGAAUUCGAUAUCGCAAUUGCGAGGUCCGUGUCUGCACAAAAUAUACUUAACCGAUUUUGAAGUUCUUUUUCAUAAUUUCAAAACCCAAAACCCUCAUUGGCAAUUUUCUCUCAACUCUUCUGUCCCCAAAUAAAUUGUUAGUCCAUUUUUACUUGUUUUCUUCAAUCCUUAUCAUCUUCUAUCAUGAUUUCUUCACUAAAUCAAAGCUUUUAUGGGUAAAAAAUGGAGGUUUGGUUAGAAGUUAGAUUUUUCAUAUUUUAAGCUUUUGGACCUCGAUUUGAGGUUCGAUUUCAAUUCUAAUUUUAGAUAUGAGCUCGUGGGGGAAUGGGUAACCCAGUUUUGGUUUGAACCUCGAGUUUUGACCACGUGGUCCUGGGGGAAUUUUGGAAAUUUUGAGUAAAACUUUGGAAAUUUCAUUCUUAUGCAUCUAAAUUGAUUUAACUAGCAUUUGUUGAUACAUUUGAGUAAAUUGUGGUUAGAUUCGACCAGUUUUGAAGCGAAUUCGAGGGGUAAAGCCAUUCUAGAAGCGUGAGUUGAGUUGGAAGCCUUCGAGGUAAGUGCUCGAUCUAACUUUGGCUUGAGGGAAUAAAAUUAGGUUGUUAAUUCCUAUGUGCUAUGUGGAGUCGGUGUAUAGGUAAGGUGACGGCUACCUAUGCGCCCGAGUCGAGCAUGACCGUGUUGUCAUUUGUUAUUAGAAUGGUGGAAGAAGUGAACAAUUGGGAUAAAUUCUCGUUAUAAGAGCUAUGAAGUGAAAGAUGAGAAGUAAAUGAACUAGAGCUGAGUUGUUGGUGUUUUUCCCUUGCCGGGACUUGUUGUUAUAUUGUUUCCCUUGCCGGGACUUGUUGUUGAAUUGUUUCCCUUGCCGGAACUUGUUGUUAAAUUGUUUCCCUUGUCGGGACUUGUUUUUGCAUUGUUCUCCCUUGCCGGGAUGGUUAAUCUUGUUGUUUACUCCUUUUCCCAUUAAUUUUGAUUAUUGUUUGGGUGAGGAGGAGCGAUAAAGCACGAUGGGUGAUGCCGUGUACUUAUUGAUUUCCUCCACAAGAUGGAGUGGUAUAUAUUGAUUUCCUCCCUUGCCGGGAUGGUUAAUCUUGUUGUUUACUCCUUUUCCCAUUAAUUGUGAUUAUUUUUUAGGUGAGGAGGAGCGAUAAUGCACGAUGGGUGAUGCCGUGUACUUAUUGAUUUCCUCCACAAGAUGGAGUGAUAUAUAUAAAUUUUCUCCACAAGAUGGAGUGGUAUUUAUCGAUUUCCUCCACAAGAUGGAGUGGUAUUUAUUGAUUUCCUCCACAAAUUUGAGUGGUAUAUAUAUCGAUUUCCUUCAUAAGAUGGAGUGGUAUUUAUUUAUUUCCUCCACAAGAUGGAGUGGUAUAUAUUGAUUUCCUCCACAAGAUGGAGUGGUGCUAUUGGUUGGGUGAGGACGGGAGUAAAAGCACGAUGGGUGGUGCCGUGCAACGUGGUUUUAUUGGUCUUACCUUACUUGAGUUCCUUAUUCCGUUUUCCCUUUAUUAGUUGUUGUUUCAUUGGAUUCUCUUAUUUACGCAACGUGGUUUUAUUCGUCUUACCAUACUGGUGUUCCUUAUUCCGUUUUCCCUUUAUUAGUUGUGUUUCAUUGGAUUCUAUUAUUUAAAUAAUAUCUAUUUAGUUCCAUCUCUUAAUUGUAGAAUUUAAUAUUGAACUGUUAUUCCCCUCCCGCAUGUCCCCUCCCUUUUUGUUGUUUAAAUUCAUAUUUUACUUUUCUGUUAUCGUAUAUAUCUGUACAUGUUGUUUAUGGUAGGUCCGGUUAUCCUCGUCACUACCUCGCCGAGGUUAGGCCGGACUCUUACCAGCACAUGGAGUCGGUUGUGCCUUUUUGUGCACAGGUCAGGACCCAGUCUACGGACCGCAGCUUUAGACCGGGAGUGAUCCUUCAGUCAAGAGGCUCUGAGGUAGUUCGCAGGCGUUCGCGGGCCCCGAGUCUCAUGUAACUUUCCCUUUCAUUUUGUUAAAUUGUAUCAAAUAGACAUUCUAUGUAUUUCUUUCAGACUAUUAUUUUUAGCACUCUUUAGUUGUCCGUGAGCAGUGACACACUAGAUGCUGGGUAGAGAUUGAUUGUUUGUUUUCCGCAUAUUAUUUUCGUUAUUGUUAUUAGACAUCUUCCGCAUGUUUUAACUAAUUAUUUUAGCAUUUAAUUUGUAUUAUUUAAAUUUUCUUGAAAUGUUUAUAAGGGUUGGCUUGCCUAGAUUCGACAGUAGGCGCCAUCACGACUCCCGAUGUUUAAUAAAUUCAGGUCGUGACAAGUUGGUAUUUGUUGGCUUACCUAGCUUCGACAGUAGGCACCAUCACGAAGGGUUGGCUUGCCUAGUUUCGACAAUAGGCGCCAUCACGACUCCCGAUGAUGGGUAAAUCCGGAUCGUGACAUACAACUACUCCAUUUUUUAUUGUUCUCUUUUUAGUGUGUGUAAAAGAUGUUCUUUUUGGGUGUUGGAGUUCUCAAAAAAUCCCCCUUUAAUUGAAAGAAAGACCUCCUCUUAAUAGGGGAGUGAAGACCUUGAAUUAUUAUUCCCAAUUUAUUCAAAGGACAUGUUUUUCACCAAAAAUAUGUCCAAAUUAUUCAAAGGACAUAUUUUUUGGUAAAAUAUCUUUCCGAAGGACAAGCUUUUAUCAAACUAUGAACAAUAUUAGGAGUAUUGUACUCAAAAUAGUCCACAAAUAGUAAAAAGUAAACCAAACAUGUAUCCUACUUCAUCAUUUACCUUAUACUAAAUUUCAACUCUAUCCUUAGUAUUAUUGUCCAUUGAUUUAACAAAGACAAAAGCAGAAAAAUAGAAAUAAACUUCAACAAUUAAUUCCAUACCAAUCCAGAAAUUAAACUAGAAUCAGCAUUUAAAAUAGGCUUACUAAACACUAACUAAGCACUAAAAAUCAAAAAUAAAAUUAUACUAACAAUAACAAUAAUAAAAGAAAAAAUCAGAACCUAAAUUAACUAACUCCAAACUUAACACAAAGCAAAAAAAAAAAAUAUUAGAAAAAAGAGAGGAACUAGGAUCUUACCAUAGCAAGAGAUUUGAUUCUAAUUCGAGAAGCGACGAGAUGUCAAGGAUAUCAGGCAGCAACGAAUCAACCACAAAGUGAACUUUUCACGUUGGCAGACACCAAAACUAAAAGUUCAGCGAACAGUUUCGAUCUCAGUAUCGUUCCACGUGAAAAGCUCGCUCGAGUCAUAUCUAGACAAGAGGGGAAGAAGGGAAAGAAGAAAAAUAGAAGAAAAAGAAGAGUUAGCAGCGACAGCGGGGAAGUCGAGGUCGCCAGAAUUCCGAUCGCCAGAAUUUUGGGUUAAGACCAAUGCCAAAUGGUAGCCCCUGUUGAGCUCUAUCUAUAUAUGUAAAAAUUAGAUGGAAAAUGUGGCUCAUUCUCCAUGAAUUUGACAAAAAGUGAUGGCUAGGAUUUUGAUUUAGGUUAGAUUUGCGAAAUUUGGUUGGGAUUUAGAGAAUAUGAGGCUUGGAUUCAUGGAGAGAAGGUUCAGAGAAAGAAAAGUGAAAUUUUAGGGUGGUUUGGAGGUUGGCUGCCGCCGGUAGCGAAUUCCGGCGGGUGGAGCAUAUACAUCGGUUAAAAGGUGAUGGAGAAGAGAGAAGAGAGAAGCGAGAAGAGAGGAGGUUAGGGUUUUAGUUAUGUCUAAA
rnacentral:lncRNA from 1 species